GCUGAAAUACUAGUUUCCAUACAAUCACCAAAGUUAAACAACAUUAAGCUUGGUUAGUACUUAGAUGGGUGACUGCUUGUGAAUACCAUGUGCUGUAAG